CCUACGGGAGGCUGCAGUGGGGGAUAUUGCACAAUGGGGGAAACCCUGAUGCAGCGACGCCGCGUGAGCGAAGAAGUAUUUCGGUAUGUAAAGCUCUAUCAGCAGGGAAGAAAAUGACGGUACCUGACUAAGACGCUCCGGCUAAAUACGUGCCAGCAGCCGCGGUACUACGUAUGGAGCAAGCGUUAUCCGGAUUUCCUGGGUGUAAAGGGAGCGUAGGCGGUAAGGCAAGUCUGAUGUGAAAGGGCAGGGCGCAACCCUGUAACUGCAUUGGACACUGUUUAACUGGAGUGUCGGAGGGGCAAGUGGAAUUGCGAGUGUAGCGGUGAAAUGCGUAGAGAUUAGGAGGAACACCAGUGGCGAAGGAGGCUUGCUGGACGAUGACUGACGCUGAGGCUCGAAAGCGUGGGGAGCAAACAGGAGUAGAUACCCUUGUAGU
rnacentral:rRNA from 1 species